ACUUUUGCGAAAUUUUCAAUAAACUAAAAACAGCUAAUUAAAUAUCCAACUUUGUUUUUUUUUAUUUAAGCUCAAGUGAAAGUGAUGGGGAUAAAAAACUAGUGCGGAGAUAGCUAAGAGAUCGUAGCAAUAGCAUUAUUGUUGAACAAAGCAUUUGAAUCUUAAAAAUACGGUGGAGAAUUUUAGGAUAUGGCGAGAGAGAAAGGUAU